GGACUAUUCCAGAAAAGCCUUGUUUCUGGAUAGAGGACUGCCUCCGUGGGGUGGAAAUGCUGCAGUGGAAUCCUGUUUGUGCUGAGUUGAAUCUGGGAAUCCAUCAGCCCCACAGAUGCUGUCCUCAACUUGGCACCUCAGCUGAGCCCUCAGAAGAACUUUCCACCUUUGAUCGGGCUGGCUAUUCCUGGAUUAUGGGGUUCAUGAUAGAUGUCUGCAUAUAGCUGUUGUGGAAAUGAAGAUACCCAGAUCACCCUUCAAGGAAAGUCUUGCUGGUUAGCAACAGGGCACCUGGUUGGAAGUCAGCAUCCACCUGUCUUCACCAUCAGAUUUGCCUUAGCAUCAUAGAACUCCUUCACUUGAGGUUACAUCCCUCCGUGAGUAGCUUGCCCCCAGUCUCCGAGAGACACAGGAAUGUAAAGCUCUGGCCUUCAUGACCUGGGCACGAUCUUGUGGUGGGUUAAGACUUCCUUUGGAGUUCCUUGCCAGUUCAACUUUUUCCUCUGCCUGUUUCUGUUGA